rnacentral:misc_RNA from 1 species
UUAUCUCCUAGAAUGAAUGGCCCGCCGCCUCUCCCAUUCGCUCGGUUGAAUGGUCCUCCUCCGCGUCUUCUAUCUCCUAGAAUGAACGGGCCACCUCUUCUCCCAUCUCCUAGAAUGAAUGGUCCUCCUCCACCUCUUCCUUCUCCGGGAAUAAAUGGGCCUCCUCCUUUGCCUUCACCUACCUCUCAGUAUCUUUUGCCAUCGCCUACUGGCUUCUUAAACUUGUUAUCUCCCCGUUCUCCUUAUCCAUUGCUUUCACCAGGUAUGCAGCAUCCUCCACCGCUGACACCAAAUUUCUUCUUCUCUCCUAUGGCUCAGCCUGGAGGUUUUGGCACUGGACCACAAUUUCCUCCUUCCCCUGGUUAUGGAUUUCCGUUGUCACCUUCUGGGUUCUUCGCCAUGUCAAGUCCAAGAUGGAGGGGUCAAUAGCACCACCACGAACAGAGCUGCUGAUCUCGAUGGAUUCUUUGCUUCGAGUUUCGUCCAGGUGGUAGAUUUCCUUCAAAUUAAAGCUUUUUCACUGUGGAUAUGCAGUGUAUACACUAUACAAUGUAAG